AUGGCAUCGGCGGUAGGGGAGGCGGUGGCCGCCGUUGACCACCACGGCCGGCCGGUCUCGCGGCGCUCCUCCGGGCGGUGGCCGGCCGCGCUCUUCGUCAUCGGGGUGGAGGUCGCGGAGCGGUUCGCGUUCGCCGGCAUCUCCGGGAACCUGAUAACCUACCUGACCGGCCCGCUCGGGCAGGCGACGGCGGCCGCCGCCGCGGCCGUCGACGCGUGGUCAGGCGUGGCCAUGCUGCUGCAGCUGCUCGGCGCCGCCCUGGCCGACUCCUGCAUCGGCCGGUACCGCACCAUCCUCUAUGCCUCCCUGCUCUACAUCCUGGGGCUAGCCAUGCUUACCAUCUCGUCGUCGGCGCACGCCUCCGAGGGCACGCCACACGCCGCAGCGGCGGCAUCCUCGGCGACGGCGAGCCCGUCCGCGGCCCAGGUGGCCUUCUUCUACGUUUCGCUCUACCUCGUCGCCUUCGCCUACGGCGGCCAGAAGCCGUGCGUGCAGGCGUUCAGCGCCGAGCAGUUCGACGAGAACGAUCCCGAGGAGCUCGCCUCCAGGGGCUCCUUCUUCAACUGGUUCUUCUUCGUCACGGACGGCAGCGUCACCGUCACCGUCCCGGCCCUGAACUACGUCCAGGACAGCGUGAGCUGGCAGCUCGGGUUCGGGAUCCCGGGCGCCGCCAUGGCGCUCGCCCUCGCCGUCUUCUUGCUCGGGACCAAGACCUACCGCUUCUAUCCUCCGGCAAGCAACGGCGGCUUGCUCGCGCAGCUCGGCCAUCCGCUCGUUGCGACGAUUCGAUCUUGGCGUUCAUCAUGGCGCUCCUCCAAAUUAUCUAGCGAUUCACGGCCAUUGCUAGAAAGCUCAUCAUUGUCGCCCAAGGGGAGCACCGGCAACGCAGAUGCAGAUUUCCCUCAUGAAGCAGCAUCGCUACUCAGAUUGUUCCCGAUAUGGUCGGCAUGCCUGAUCUACGCCGUCGUCUACGCACAGUGGCCUACUUUCUUCACCAAGCAGGCGAGCACGCUCGACAGGAGAGUAGGCAGCCUGGUGGUGCCAGCCGCUGCCCUGCAAAACCUGAGCCAUGUCGCGGUCAUGAUCUUCCUGCCGAUCUACGACCGGAUCCUCGUCCCGCUAGCUAGAAAGCGCACGAGGAACCCUCAUGGCAUCACAAUGCUGCAGAGGAUUGGCGCCGGGCUGGCCAUCUCGAUCGUCACGAUGAUCGUCGCCGCGCUGGUGGAGAUAAGAGGCUCGGGAUCGCGGCGGAUCAUGGCAUCCUAG
rnacentral:rRNA from 1 species